rnacentral:rRNA from 1 species
UCUACCUUUAUCUGGGGAAUAGCCCGAAGAAAUUCGGAUUAAUACCCCAUAAGAUAUUAGAGUGGCAUCACUCAGAUAUUAAAACUCCGGUGGAUAGAGAUGACUGUGCGUCCCAUUAGCUAGUUGGUAGGGUAACGGCCUACCAAGGCGACGAUGGGUAGCUGGUGUGAGAGCACGACCAGCCACACGGGCACUGAGACACGGGCCCGACUCCUACGGGAGGCAGCAGUGAGGAAUAUUGGGCAAUGGACGCAAGUCUGACCCAGCCAUGCCGCGUGAAGGAUGAAGGCGUUCUGCGUUGUAAACUUCUUUUAUUAGGGAARAAACCUCCGUUUUCUAAUGGAGCCGACGGUACCUAACGAAUAAGCACCGGCUAACUCCGUGCCAGCAGCCGCGGUAAUACGGAGGGUGCAAGCGUUAUCCGGAUUCACUGGGUUUAAAGGGUGUGUAGGCGGAUAUUUAAGUCAGUGGUGAAAUCUCCAGGCUCAACCCUGGAAACUGCCAUUGAUACUAUUUUAUCUUGAAUUCUGUUGAGGGUGGGCGGA